CCUGGGAGGCGAAGCGCCACACUGAGGACUCGGAGGUGGUUUCAGACCGCAGCGCCUGGGGCUCCUCCUCCCGCGCUACCCAGGGAGGCGGGCUGUGCUCUUUUCAAGGUCCCGCCAAAGGGCCCCGCCAUCGCGGAGGGAGACCUUCGCAGCCUUCCCUCCUACACUAGGCCGGGAACCGCCGGACCGGAAGCUGCGGGGUCUCGGGGCCCCGGCUCGUUCUCGCCUAGCCGCAAGCCGCGGGUGCGCAUGCUCCGCGAAGGCCCGCACAGAGCCCGGGUGAACCCUGAUAGAGCCAUCGCGAGGCGGGGUUAUUGCUGGAAUGGUGGUGGUUUGGGGAACUCUUUUUUGGUGAGAUGGUGAAGUGGGAAGGUGCACCCCGUUUCCAGUGGGCUCCCACUUGGUGCUGGCCUGGCUUCUUGGAAAGAGAGUGAAAAGUCAGAGCCUCAGAGCUGCCACUGAACUCCACAGCCUUCACCUUGCCUCUUCCUGUUUGGAAGACCCAGAUCCAGUUAGUGCAGUCCUGCUUCCCAACUAGGAGCCCGUCCGCUGAUGUCCGGGGCUUCCCUGGUGGCGCAGUGGUUGAGAAUCUGCCUGCCAAUGCAGGGGACACGGGUUCAAGCCCUGGUCUGGGAAGAUCCCACAUGCCGCGAAGCAACUAAGCCCCUGUGCCACAACUACUGAGCCUGUGUGUCUGGAGCCUGUGCUCCGCAGCGAGAGGCCGCGACAGUGAGAGGCCCGCGCACCGCGAUGAAGAGUGGCCCCCACUCGCCACAACUGGAGAAAGCCCUCACACAGAAACAAAGAACCAACACAGCCAAAAAUAAAUAAAUUAAUAAAUAAAUAAAAUUUUUAAAAAGUGUCUGUUAAGAGCAGACAUUUUUAAUUUGGAUAAAGUCCAAUUGAUCAAUUUACUCUUUUAUGGAUCAUACUUUUGGUGCUAUAUCUAAGAAAUUUUUGCCUAUUCCAUGGUUGCAAAGGUUUUCUUCUAGAUGUUUUACUUACAGUUAAGUCUAUAGCCCAUUUUGAGUUAUAUUUUGUAUAUGGUGCAAAGUAUAGAGACUUUUUUGCUUACGGGUGUGUAAUUGUUCCAGCAGUAUUUGUUGAAAACACCAUCUUUUUUGGACUCC